rnacentral:rRNA from 1 species
GGGUCAGUAGGUUGGUCGUGCCACCGGUACGUACUGGUCUCACUGAUUCCUCCUUCCUGAAGAACCGUAGUGCCAUUAAUUUGGUGUUGCGGGGAAACAGGACUGUUACUUUGAAAAAAUUAGAGUGUUUAAGGCAAGCUAACGCUUGAAUACAUUAGCAUGGAAUAAUGAAAUAGGACGAUCGAUCCUAUUUUGUUGGUUUCUAGGAUUGACGUA